AAUAGGUGAAGGGUGGGGACCAAUCAGAGGAAAACAUGCCAAAUGGGAAGACAAGUUCCCAAUCUGGUCAGAGGAUUUAACUUGCAGCUUGGCUUUCAGGCUUUAAACUGUCUUCGGCUUGAAGGUGGGGUUUUGCCAUGGGCCCACCCCUAUCUGCCUAGGCAUUUGUCUGCCUCUAUCAAUGUCAGAAUGAAGACUGGGAGACCUGCUGCUCCUUCCAUUGGAAUGAAUCUUACUCUGGAAGGAGAUUGGACUUUGGAACAGGCUGACCUGAAUUCAGAUCCCAGCUCCACCACUGACAAACUGUGUAACCACUGGCAAUGAAUACAACCUCUCUCAGCCUCCGGUUCCCUAUCAAAAACACCGUGGUAAUACUGUUAUCUUCAGAAAGUUGUUGAGAAGAUUAAAUAAAAUUGUGUUAAUAAACCAAAG
rnacentral:lncRNA from 1 species